CAAUAGCGUAUAUUAAAGUUGCUGCAGUUAAAAAGCUCGUAGUUGGACGUCGGGCUCAGGCUUGCGGUCCGCCUCGCGGCGGUCACUGCUCGUCCUGACCUGCACGCCGGUGUCACCGUCCCUUGGUGCUCUUGACUGAGUGUCUCGGGCGGCCGGUACGUUUACUUUGAAGAAAUUAGAGUGCUUAAAGCAGGCCCUAGCCGCCUGAAUAAUGGUGCAUGGAAUAAUGAAAGAGGACCUCGGUUCUAUUUUGUUGGCUCUCGGAGCUCGAGGUAAUGAUUAACAGGGACUGACGGGGGCAUUCGUAUUGCGGCGCUAGAGGUGAAAUUCUUGGACCGUCGCAAGACGAACUACAGCGAAAGCAUUUGCCAAGCAUGUUUUCAUUAA
rnacentral:rRNA from 1 species